rnacentral:misc_RNA from 1 species
GUAUAUUUAUUAUAACAUGUAAUAUGCCAACCAACAUAUGCAUAACAUCGUGUGUGUAACAAAUAUUCAUAGACACGCCAUCGGCAUGUCUACAGGCAGUGCACAGGUGGAACAGAAGAAACAAGUGACCAGAGGCGUGUGCACAUUGCCCAGAGGACCAGCACAACAGCAUCCAGCCAGAAGUCUCAUUCAAUAAUGAUCCUUCCGCAGGUUCACCUACGGAAA